AAGAAAUUAGUUUAAUUUAAAACAUUAACUUGUCAAGUUAAAGAUAUUUAUUAAUAUUUCUUA
rnacentral:tRNA from 1 species